AGUAACGGCGAGUGAAGCGGCAACAGCUCAAAUUUGAAAUCUGGCUCUCGGGCCCGAGUUGUAAUUUGUAGAGGAUGCUUUUGGCAAGGUGCCUUCCGAGUUCCCUGGAACGGGACGCCAUAGAGGGUGAGAGCCCCGUCUGGUUGGACACCGAGCCUCUGUAAAGCUCCUUCGACGAGUCGAGUAGUUUGGGAAUGCUGCUCUAAAUGGGAGGUAUAUGUCUUCUAAAGCUAAAUACUGGCCAGAGACCGAUAGCGCACAAGUAGAGUGAUCGAAAGAUGAAAAGCACUUUGAAAAGAGAGUUAAAAAGCACGUGAAAUUGUUGAAAGGGAAGCGCUUAUGACCAGACUUGGGCUUGGUUGAUCAUCCGGCGUUCUCGCCGGUGCACUCUUCCAGUUCAGGCCAGCAUCAGUUUGCCUCGGGGGAUAAAAGUAGCGGGAAUGUGGCUCCUCCGGGAGUGUUAUAGCCCGCUGCAUAAUACCCUGUGGCAGACUGAGGACCGCGCUUCGUGCAAGGAUGCUGGCGUAAUGGUCAUCAGCGACCCGUCUUGAAACACGGACCAAGGAGUCGUCUUCGUAUGCGAGUGUUCGGGUGUCAAACCCCUACGCGUAAUGAAAGUGAACGCAGGUGAGAGCUUCGGCGCAUCAUCGACCGAUCCUGAUGUUCUCGGAUGGAUUUGAGUAAGAGCAUACGGGGCCGGACCCGAAAGAAGGUGAACUAUGCCUGUGUAGGGUGAAGCCAGAGGAAACUCUGGUGGAGGCUCGCAGCGGUUCUGACGUGCAAAUCGAUCGUCAAACAUGGGCAUG
rnacentral:rRNA from 1 species